rnacentral:rRNA from 1 species
UUAAAAAGCUCGUAGUUGAACUUUGGGUCUGGCUGAUCUGUCCUCCUAAUCGAGCGCACGGAUUCGGUCGGGCCUUUCCUCCUGGGGAACCCGAUGCCCUUAAGUGGGCGUCGUGGGGAACCAGGACUUUUACCUUGAAAAAAUUAGAGUGUUCAAAGCAGGCCUUUGCUCGAAUACAUUAGCAUGGAAUAAUAGAAUAGGACAUCGGUUCUAUUUUGUUGGUUUCUAGGACCGCUGUAAUGAUUAAUAGGGGUAGUCGGGGG